GCCUUAACACAUACUGAUUUGACCCGUCAAUGGCCAAAUCUAUAAAUUAUGGCAUACUUAACUUUAAACCAGGCCAGUAUUAUACUAAAUCACUUAUAAGCAAGAAAAGCAUAAAUAACAGCUGAAAGAGCUAAGGUAAAACAAAAGGGAUUUUCAGUUCAUGCAAAUCCAGAUUUCAACAUGCUAAAAGAUUACAUCACAAAGAAAUACCCCAAACACUCGUGUUAAUACACUUGCAAUCAAAAUUGUCUAAAGUCAAAGAUUAAUCAAACAAUAUCAAAAGAACACCCAUUCAUUUCACACCUCUUUGCAAAUUUUGACAUUUUUAUUACUUAUGUACAAGGAAACUACAUAGGAGAUCCGAAGCAGUACCUUGAAAAGUGAGAUUCAUCAAAUAAAAUAGGGAAACAAAUAACUGAGAAUCCAAAGAAGGAACAACAGAAGGGAUCAGUCAAACAAUAACAGUAAACACAACACAACAAAUCCAGUGAAUCAAACUUCAGACUCCAAAACAAACAGCUGAAACCAGAAAAUCCAGCCGAUGGACCAAGCAAACCCUCUAUCUUCAAACCAUGUUCAAAACUUGUGAGGAAUGAGAGAUUUUUUCGAGUUUUUUUCAAAGAUAUUGGAGUAUGUACUUUUUAGAGAAAAUAGAGCUUUUCAGUAAAAGUGCUGAUGAAAAAUAUGUAUGAAAAUCUCUGUAUUCUCUAUGGGAAAAUGCACCAUAUAUAGGGAUAUAUAAUGCCCUAUGCUGAGAAAUUAUUCCUUAGCCAAAACAGCAUAUUCCCAACAGAAUUGGGACAACUGAUUUUCCCCCAUUGGCUUUAGUACUUUGUACUAAUCAAAUGAGACCAAUUACACCUUUUUCUAGAGUAUUCUGAUAUUUCCAAUUAAGAAAAAUCCUAAUUUACCCUUUUGAAACCUGCUUAUUACAGCCUCUAUCUAAAUUUUUUUGUUCACUUAGGUCCCUAGGGCUUCUAAUAGUUGGCAAAUCAGAGCUAACACUAUAAGGCCAAUGUUGCUACACACAAGAAGAUUAAAAGACGAGACUAUUGAGCAAAAUAAUUGAAUUAAAAAAUCACUGAUAUGAACAGAAUCCGAAAACUGGAACAAUCAUAGAAGAAACGAUUUAAACCAUAAAAUGAAACAAACAUGAAGAAAAACUUUGAAACUAAUAUUAACACGAACUUCAAAGGAAAACUAUUAAACCUAACAAAAUUGAUGAAACUUAGCAAACAGAAAAAGAAUUUUAAUCAGGCGGCAAAUUUGACGGUAGAACCACUUAAAACAAACUUUAAUUUUAAAAAUAAACACGACUUAACUAUCCUACAUGCCUCGAAUUUUAUCAAAACAAAUAACUUUAGAAAACUUAAAUCACCGAAAUUCAGAUUAACCCAGUAACCAAAACAAAAUUGACACCCAAGUAAUACAAGUAAAAAGACCUAUUUAAACAAGAAAAGAAAAAGCAGGAACAAAAUGAAUUUGGCCGGAACAGCUUGGACAGAAGAGUGAAUCGACAUGCUAACUGAAACCAUACGCAAGGAAAUAUACAUAAAGAAAAAGAGAUGGAGAUGAUACUCAGAAAAAGACAGAAUGGCAAAGAGAAUUACCUAAAAAAUUAAAAAAGACCUUCAAAACGGCACUUGAUUGAUUGUAGGGUCUAAUCCUCUGAAAUGAACCAAAAUUAAUGCUAAUCAGUUGUUCUUGCCAAGAACAAGUUGACUAGCAUGCAUUUCGGACUACUUCAAGCUUGGAAACCAAAUCAACUAGGGCUUCUGACUUUUUCGUCGGUUUGAAAUUUGGGAUUUUUGGCAGGGGUAUUUGGGAAGUCAGUAAUGGAAUCGUGAUGCGGGAAGGUCAAGGAUGAUGGGGUUUGAUAUUGGGUUAAUUUGGAAAGUUAGGGUUUUGACCGGAAAUUCGAACUAAUCUGAAGGUAUUCAAGGGAAACUAGUCGGAGAUUGGAAAAUGGAGGUCAUGAGGGUUAUGCGGUGUGAAGGUGGGGGUGAUUAGAUUCCGGCAGGCGGUUUGUGGCGGAGGUAGCAAUGGAAAGCAAGGGAGGCUAGCUUGGUUAGAGAGACUGAGUGAGAAUGAGG
rnacentral:lncRNA from 1 species